GCCUCCCAAACUUGCCUUUAUGUCAAGAGGUGUUGGGGACAAAGGUUCAUCCAGUCAUAAUAAACCAAAGGCUACAGGAUCUACCUCAGACCCUGGAAAUAGAAACAGAUCUGAAUUAUUUUAUACCUUAAAUGGGUCUUCUGUUGACUCACAACCACAAUCCAAAUCAAAAAAUACAUGGUACAUUGAUGAAGGUAAUCAGUAAUUUUAGUGUUCUUUAUAAUGAUCCUUUCUUUCUAACUCAUCAAAGAAAAAUGGUUUUUUAUAUCAAUAUUUGUAGUUUUUGGAAACAGAAUAAGUAGACCACUCUUUGUAAUAUUGCUGAACUAAAAUAUUGUACACAGUUUGAACUGUACUGCUGUUAAGAUUAUUAAAAUGUUUAAGCAAUGUAUUAGUAAUUUGUUCUUUUCCUUUAACUGAUCUAUUUAGGGUGGAAGAUUUCUGUCUGGUUCCUUCCUGACCUCUUUAAAGCACUCCCUUUUAAAAAAUUUUAUCUUCCCUUGGUCCUGGGACGUCAUUUUCACCUAGUUUAUUCUCUUCUUUG
rnacentral:sRNA from 1 species